rnacentral:rRNA from 1 species
UACGUAGGGUGCGAGCGUUGUCCGGAAUUAUUGGGCGUAAAGAGCUCGUAGGCGGUGUGUCACGUCGGCCGUGAAAACCUGGGGCUUAACUCUGGGCGUGCGGUCGAUACGGGCAUCACUAGAGUUCGGCAGGGGAGACUGGAAUUCCUGGUGUAGCGGUGAAAUGCGCAGAUAUCAGGAGGAACACCGGUGGCGAAGGCGGGCCAUCUGGGACCGAUACUGACGCUGAGGCACGAAAGACUGGGGAGCGAAACAGGAUUAGA